rnacentral:rRNA from 1 species
UGGGGAAUUUUGGACAAUGGGCGCAAGCCUGAUCCAGCCAUGCCGCGUGCAGGAUGAAGGCCUUCGGGUUGUAAACUGCUUUUGUACGGAACGAAAAGACUCCUUCUAAUAAAGGGGGUCCAUGACGGUACCGUAAGAAUAAGCACCGGCUAACUACGUGCCAGCAGCCGCGGUAAUACGUAGGGUGCGAGCGUUAAUCGGAAUUACUGGGCGUAAAGCGUGCGCAGGCGGUUAUAUAAGACAGAUGUGAAAUCCCCGGGCUCAACCUGGGAACUGCAUUAGUGACUGUAUAGCUAGAGUACGGCAGAGGGGGAUGGAAUUCCGCGUGUAGCAGUGAAGUGCGUAGAUAUGCGGAGGAACACCGAUGGCGAAGGCAAUCCCCUGGGCCUGUACUGACGCUCAUGCACGAAAGCGUGGGGAGCAAACA